rnacentral:rRNA from 1 species
GACGAACGCUGGCGGCGUGCCUAAUACAUGCAAGUAGAACGCUGAAGAGAGGAGCUUGCUCUUCUUGAAUGAGUUGCGAACGGGUGAGUAACGCGUAGGUAACCUGCCUUGUAGCGGGGGAUAACUAUUGGAAACGAUAGCUAAUACCGCAUAACAAUGGGUGACACAUGUCAUUUAUUUGAAAGGGGCAAUUGCUCCACUACAAGAUGGACCUGCGUUGUAUUAGCUAGUAGGUGAGGUAACGGCUCACCUGGGCGACGAUACAUAGCCGACCUGAGAGGGUGAUCGGCCACACUGGGACUGAGACACGGCCCAGACUCCUACGGGAGGCAGCAGUAGGGAAUCUUCGGCAAUGGGGGCAACCCUGACCGAGCAACGCCGCGUGAGUGAAGAAGGUUUUCGGAUCGUAAAGCUCUGUUGUAAGUCAAGAAUGAGUGUGAGAGUGGAAAGU